rnacentral:rRNA from 1 species
GAUGAACGCUGGCGGCGUGCCUAAUACAUGCAAGUCGAGCGAACGGACGAGAAUCUUGCUUCUCUGAUGUUAGCGGCGGACGGGUGAGUAACACGUGGAUAACCUACCUAUAAGACUGGGAUAACUUCGGGAAACCGGAGCUAAUACCGGAUGAUAUUUUGAACCGCAUGGUUCAAAAGUGAAAGACGGUCUUGCUGUCACUUAUAGAUGGAUCCGCGCUGCAUUAGCUAGUUGGUAAGGUAACGGCUUACCAAGGCAACGAUGCAUAGCCGACCUGAGAGGGUGAUCGGCCACACUGGAACUGGGACACGGUCCAGACUCCUACGGGAGGCAGCAGUAGGGAAUCUUCCGCACUGGGCGAAAGCCUGACGGAGCAACGCCGCGUGAGUGAUGAAGGUCUUCGGAUCGUAAAACUCUGUUAUUAGGGAAGAACAUAUGUGUAAGUAACUGUGCACAUCUUGACGGUACCUAAUCAGAAAGCCACGGCUAACUACGUG